rnacentral:pre_miRNA from 1 species
UGAGGUAGUAGAUUGUAUAGUUGUAGGGUAGUUAUUUUGCCCUCUUCAGGAGAUAACUAUACAAUCUAUUGCCUUCC